rnacentral:rRNA from 1 species
CUCUAGAGCUAAUACAUGCCACGAAGCCCUGACCCGCAAGGGAAUGGGUGCACUUAUUAGAUCAGAAGCCAACCAGGUGCCGGUCGCAAGACUGGUGCCUGCUGUCGUUCUGGUGACUCUGGAUAAUUGUUACAGAUCGCAGUCGGCCUUGAGUCGGC